rnacentral:rRNA from 1 species
UACGAAGGGGGCUAGCGUUGUUCGGAAUUACUGGGCGUAAAGCGUGCGCAGGCGGCUUCUCAAGUCAGGGGUGAAAGCCCAGAGCUCAACUCUGGAAUUGCCUUUUAGACUGCAUCGCUUGAAUCAUGGAGAGGUCAGUGGAAUUCCGAGUGUAGAGGUGAAAUUCGUAGAUAUUACGGAAGAACACCAGUGGCGAAGGCGGCUGACUGGACAUGUAUUGACGCUGAGGUGCGAAAGCGGUGGGGAGCAAACAGG